rnacentral:lncRNA from 1 species
CCAUUUGAUGUACACAGCUUCCUGCUUGAUGAAAUUCCUCACAAUUAAUAAAAUACAAAGACACCACAGUGCUUCCAUCAACAAUUUCUAGGCAUGUUAAAGACGCACACUAUACCCACAAAGCUAAGCACAAGAAAAACUGUCUCAUGGGUAUAAUCAAAACUGAUCAAAUCCCCAUGAAAAUCUAGAACUUACUCAUAAAAAAAAAGAGCAUCUACUGUAACAAAAACCAUGCCCAUGAGAUCAAAAUUGCAUCAUAAUUAACUAAAUUACUCACCACACAAACUAAAACACGAAAUUUCCACGAAUGACCUUAGAACAUCCAAUGCAUACAUCACAUCACCGAAUAAAACACAGAAAAAACGAAAAAAAAAAGGGAGCUUCAGUCCAGGUCUCAUUGAAACUGUUCAUGAAUACUAUCAAAAUUUGGAACUUACUCAAAAAAGAGAAAAUAAAAGGGAAAAGAAAAGGAUCACAAACAAUGACAAGAACAUACUCGUUCGAUCUAUACCAAAUGUUUGACGGUAUUCCUCAAACAAUAAAAACAUAAAUAAGAAAAAAGAACAUGAGACUAAUAGAAAGAGCAGGAUUCUAAGCUUAAACGAGGAAAAUGGAAAAAUUGGAAGAACAGCUUUAGAGACUAGAAGCACCUGGAGGGAAUUUCAGAGGGGAGAAAGAGAGGCGAUAGUAAUAGCUCAGGAGUGGACGUUGAGGGAAGAAACGUAUCGAUCAAAACGGGCGGCUGUUGAUGCGUGAUGCUUACCGAAGCCUAGAAAGGGUAAAACUAGAAGGGGAAGUGGGAAUCGGUUCUUUUCGGGCCAAACGGGUGGGAGACCGGAGAGAGGAGUGGAAUGGGGGAAAUAUGGGAGUCCUUUUUCUCGAAUCACGCCCCCCUGGGUCUUGGUCUUCCAGCCCGCCACCACUGGGACUCCUCUUUCAUGGCAAUGUAUCUGGUGCGGGUAACGGCUAGUUCGCUCCGGCGAAAGCUUUGAAAGGCGUGCGGUCUGAUGGUGCUUCUUGUAAUCGCCACCUUGUUUCACCAUCGUUUUC